rnacentral:rRNA from 1 species
AGCGAACGCUGGCGGCAGGCCUAACACAUGCAAGUCGAACGAACCUUUCGGGGUUAGUGGCGGACGGGUGAGGAACACGUGGGAACGUGCCUUUAGGUUCGGAAUAACUCAGGGAAACUUGUGCUAAUACCGAAUGUGCCCUUCGGGGGAAAGAUUUAUCGCCUUUAGAGCGGCCCGCGUCUGUUUAGCUAGUUGGUUGAGGUAAUGGCUCACCAAGGCGACGAACAGUAGCUGGUCUGUGAGGAUGAUCAGCCACAUUGGGACUGAGACACGGCCCAAACUCCUACGGGAGGCAGCAGUGGGGAAUCUUGCGCAAUGGGCGAAAGCCUGACGCAGCCAUGCCGCGUGAAUGAUGAAGGUCUUAGGAUUGUAAAAUUCUUUCACCGGGGACGAUAAUGACGGUACCCGGAGAAGAAGCCCCGGCUAACUUCGUG